rnacentral:rRNA from 1 species
GAUGAACGCUCGCUACAGGCUUAACACAUGCAAGUCGCAGGGUAACAUGAGGAAAGCUUGCUUUCCUUGAUGACGACUGGCGCACUGGUGAGUAACGCGUAUCCAACCUUCCCAUAACUACGGGAUAACCCGUUGAAAGACGGCCUAAUACCGUAUGAUAUCUUUUGCUGAUAUCAAAUAACGAUUAAAGGUUUAGCGGUUAUGGUUGGGGAUGCGUUUGAUUAGCUUGUUGGCGGGGUAACGGCCCACCAAGGCGACGAUCAGUAGGGGUUCUGAGAGGAAGGUCCCCCACAUGGGAACUGAGACACGGUCCAAACGCCUACGGGAGGCAGCAGUGAGGAAUAGUGGUCGAUGGGCGAGAGCCUGAACCAGCCAAGUAGCGUGCAGGACGACGGCCCUAUGGGUUGUAAACUGCUUUUAUGUGGGGAUAAAGUGCGUGACGGGUCAUGAAUUGCAGGUACCACAUGAAUAAGGACCGGCUAAUUCCGUG